rnacentral:rRNA from 1 species
GAGUGAUCGAAAGAUGAAAAGCACUUUGAAAAGAGAGUUAAACAGCACGUGAAAUUGUUGAAAGGGAAGCGUUUGCGACCAGACUCGCCCGCGGGGUUCAGCCGGCAUUCGUGCCGGUGUACUUCCCCGUGGGCGGGCCAGCGUCGGUUUGGGCGGCCGGUCAAAGGCCCUCGGAAUGUAUCACCCCUCGGGGUGUCUUAUAGCCGAGGGUGCAAUGCGGCCUGCCCGGACCGAGGAACGCGCUUCGGCUCGGACGCUGGCGUAAUGGUCGUAAWUGAC